rnacentral:tRNA from 1 species
ACUUAAGUAAUUAAAUUUUAUAAUAUAAUAUUGAAGAUAUUGUUUUAGGGCUUGCCCUCUUAAGUA